UUGUUUCCAAGAUCUGGCGAUUACAAAUUGUGCUGCUAUAAACAUAGGUGCACAUAUAUCACUGUGGUAUGAUGCUUUCAGUUCUUCUGGGAAUUGCAUUGCUAUUUUAAGGACCGCAUUCUGACAUAAUAUAUUGUAAUGAUUUAGUAAAUAAAUCAUUAAAAAUUUUUUUAGUUUUGGAAUUUUAUUCCUCCACUAGAUGGCAGCACACAACCAGCUAUAAUUUAGGUUGCCUUUGUAAAGCGAUAAAUUCUAACGGUAUCCAGUGCCUUGUGCAUCUAACACACCUCAUAAUACUAGUUUGAGAUUAUUAAGAAUUUAGUAAGGGUUAAUUGGAUUAUGUGUGCCAAAUUGAAAGUACAGCAUUUGACAAUGUUAACAUAUAUUUUUAUGCUUUACAUCUGAUUUAUAUUUGAUGACUUUGAAGUACCAGUUAGCUGUUUUUGUAAAAAAGAAAAUAGCCAUAUUAAAAAGUGUUUUUGUUUUUUUUUUUUUUGCGAUUUUUAAAAUUUUUUUUUAUUUUGGUACUGGGGAUCGAACUCAUGACCUCACACUUGGCAGGCAGGCACUUAACACCACUGAGCUAAACCCCCAGCCCUGUUUGUUUUUUGCUUCAGCAAACUGAAACGUUCUUAUGUUGGAAUAAAGAGUAAUGUGGAGGGUUUUUGUUUUUGCUAUUAACUGUUUGUGAUGGGAGUGAAGAUAUUUAAUAGUAAAACCCAGUGUUAGGUGUAGUUCUUAUCUUUUAGAUAUUGAAGUUAAUAUUUGUAAAAUAUAAAAGUUAUUUUAUGAAGAAUAGCAAUUUUGAUAAAUAUGCUGUGGUUAAAUAUUUUGGAGAGUUCUAUAAUUAGGUUUCUUUUUUUAAAAAUUGUUCAUUAUAUACUGUUUAUAUAUUCUUUAGAAAUUACUCAGUUUUUACAUGUUUGAUUGUUACUCAGUUUCCAGAAACUAUUAGUGUCUGUAAAUUAGGUAAAGAAAUUAGAAAAUGAGUAAUUAAUUCUGACAACUCUUUUUUAAGUUAGAAAUCUGAUUUGAAGAUUUUAUAAGUGGCCCAUUUUAGUACAGUGCAGUUGUGGUUUUCAGUCCAGCUCUGAUACUAUUGCUCAAUUGUUUGUAGGUGAGCUUUUUUUGGACAUACUUUAUUUUAGUAACAUGCUGAAAUUUAGAAAAUUCAGUUUUAAAAGCACUUAUGAAUGGAAAAAGAACUAAAUUUCAUUUCCCUGUGAAUUAUUUAGAAGGAAUUUAAGCAUUUAUUGCAUUAUUCUAGCCUGAUAAAAUGUAAACUACUGGCUAGAGUAACAAAGUAUAGUAUAUAACUUAGAACAAAUCAAAUUGCUACUUAAACUAUAAACUUCAAGCUGUGAUCUAGUCCUGGUAGUUGCUGUAGUAAGUCUGUAACAGGUGCUGCAAAAUGGAACUUUAAAAGUUAGACUUUUUCUGUUAGUUAUGCAACUUACCUUGUUUUUUCCUCUUGGACGCAUAGCUAACACCCCCUUGUCAGAUCAGUACAAAUAGUGUAGCUCCUUCUAAAAGUGGCUUGCCAAAUAAAUGUUGCUGGGUUCUGGGUUGCUCUCCUUUCCUUCUGGAAUUAGAUUCCAGAUUCUUCUUGAACAAAGAAUUGAAUGAAAUGAGAAAAGAGAGAGAAGGGGGAAAAAAGCAGUGGCAAAGUGUAUUGUGAAGAUGAGGGAGAAACGCCUGCACAGUGAGGUUAGACCAAGUGACAGAGAGCACAAGGUGCGGUGCACCGUGAGCAGAGUGUGCUCUGUGAAGAAAUCAGACUGGCAAGCUCUUCAUGGUCUCCUGUCCUUUUAUGGUGUCCGGAUGUUGAGGAAACCUUCAAGAACUUCUACUUUCUGGUCCUGAGAGGUGAUACUGGGAUCUUAAGCCUCAGGCUGACCUUAGGUCCUAGGCCAUUCUGUGGAAAAUUCGUUUGCAGGGCUUUUGGGACUGUUCUGAGCCUGUGUUCUGAGAUCUUCAGUUAACCUGUCAGAACUAUUUCCCCAGCCAGUUCAGUCACACUCUGAUCUCCUGUAUCAUCCCUAAACACUAGUUCUCUACGCUCUGGCUUUGGCAAGCAUCAUUUUAUUUAUGUCUUUAUGACUUUAACUACUCUGGUGUCUCACACUGAAUCAUACAGUGUUUGUCUUUGUGAUUGCAUUAGCAUACUGUCCUCAAGAUUUAUCUAUGUUGUACCAUAUGUCAGAAUUUCUUUUCUUUUCUUUUGAGGACUGAAUAGUAUUCCUUUGUAUAUACAUACUGCAUUUUGCAUAUUUAUCCCUAAAUAGAUAUUGGGUUGCUGCUAUGUUUUAGUUAUUGUGAGUAAUGCUGCUAAGAUUUAAUUCUUAUAGUCACUUCAUGAGAUGAGAACUAUUGAUGAGGAAACUGAGACCUAGAGCUAAGAACUGCAAAAUUGCAGUUAGUAAGAGCCUUUGUCUAUGUGGAAUGUGUGUACUUAACCACUAACUAGAUUCCCUUUUGAUGUUUUCUGCUUUGCCUCCAGAUAUCAUCACCAUGACUUACUAUGUCUUAAUAUAUCAUAAAUGAUGCUAUACAAAUAAUUUUUAAUACUAAUGUUGGCAAAUGGCCAUACAGUACAUUAUUUUAUUUACUCAUAUGCAUCAACUAUGAAAUUGCCCAAUUAAAAAAUAAAGUUGAUGUUGGGCAUGGUGGCUUAUAGCUGUGAUCUCUUGCCUUGGGAGGCCAUGGUAGGAGGAUCACUGUGAGUCUGAGGCCAGUGUGGGCUAUCUAGUGAGUUCAAGGCCAAUUUGAGCUAUGUAAUCUCAAAAAAUAAAGUUAAAAACAACAACAAAAAAAUUAAGUUGAAACCCCUCAAUCUGGAUUUUAAAGCACUUAACAAUCUUUGACCAUGAAAUGGUUAUUUGUUUUACAUAGUAGAUAUAUAAUUCUGGGAAACUUGGAAUUGAUAAUUUCUAUAGUGACAUAGAAGAAGUAAAACUAGCAACCUAUUAGAUGUCAGGUUGCUGAUGCAUGUGAUUUCCAAAGGACAGUGGAAGUGGAAGAGUAGAAAAGAUUUAUUGGAGAAAAGGAAUCCCCAGUGGUUUGCCUCUGUGGCCCUUUCUCCGAGAGUUUUACGUAGGGCAUAAUUACAAGAUGGGUACAAAAUCAGGAGUGGGUACCGUGUGGAUCAAACUAUAAUCCUUCAUUAGGGAAGUAUGAAAUCCAGCCAUUGUGAUUUUAAUCAUGUCUUCUUUAAGCUACAAUUUUGGUGUUUCCACCUUUUACUCCUUUCCUUGAGAGCCUAGUCUCUUUCUGCCUGUAUUAUAUAUUAAUUUUUAUCUAACUUAGCUGCCUAUAAUUAUGGGAUCUGCUAUUUGGAGCAUGUGAGAUGUCAUGGAAGUGAGUUUUGCAUAGGAGUUUGAAGACUUGUUUUGAGAUAGGAUGGUGCAGACUUCUAGGCAGUGGAGGAUGGUAAAAUGAGAAUGGGAUAAGGAUAUUGCAAUUCUAAAGUUUAUGUAGUUAAAAAUAGGACAGCUAUAAUCAUUUCAUGAUUUUUUUCCCAAAGAAAAUGAUUUUUGGUACAUUUUUGGUAUACAUAAUGACCAUGUUCGUCGCAGGGAAUUUUGUAUCUGUACAUGAUAUAUUUUGAUUCCUCUUUUUUCCCAAUCCCCUCCCCUUCAACUCUUCUCUAUUUAUAAAGUUUUUGUUUCCAUUUUAUCCUUUUUUUAUCAGUUUUUUUCCUUUACCCAGUCUUCCCCGUCCCCAUUCUUCUUGCCAUUUGAACAUUUUCUUCCUAUUUUGCAAUAUUUAUUAUACAUUUUGGUACUUAUUUAUACUUUUAGUUUCUUACAUCAGAAAAAGAAUGUGGUACUUGCACAUGUGUGUCUGAUUUAUUUCACUUAGGAUUAUGGUCUCAAGCUUAUCUUUCUAUGUGGUAACAUAGUACUCUAUCUAUUGGUAUAUCUCUGUAUAUCUCUAUCUCUACCUCUACCUCUAUCUAAUCUUCUUUAAUUAUUCACUAAGUAAAUGGGCAUUUGGGCUGUUUCCAGCCUUUGGCUAUUACAAACUAUGCUACUGUAAAUAUGGGUGUACAUAUAUUGCUGUGGUUUGCAGCUUUUGAUUCUUUCAUAAAGAUUCCAAGAGAAAUAGCUGGGUCAGAUGGGACCACUAGUCCUUUUGGAGGAAUCUUCAUACCUUAAAUUUCCACAGUGGUUUUAAAGUCUGCAUUGCUACCAACAGUGGAGAAGGGUUCCUUUUCCCCCAUAUCCCCAACAUUUGUUAUUGGUCGAUUUCUUGAUGAUAGCCACUCUUUGUGGAGUAAGAUGGAAUAUCAUAGUUUUAAUUUGCAUUUCACGAAUGACCAGUGAUGUUGAAUACUUCCAUAUAUUUAUUUGCUAUUUCUGUUUCUUCAUCUGAGAAGUGUCUGUUCAUUUGAGAUGCCCAUUUCUGGACUAGAUAUUUAAAUUCGAGGGCUCUGAUUUUUUUUUUUUUUUGAGUUCUUUAUAUAUUCUAGAUAAUAAUCCUUUGAGGAACAGCCGGCAGAAUUUUUUUCCCACAGUGUAGGUUGUCUCUUUACUCUGUUGGUGGUUUCUCUUGCUGUGCAAAGCUUUUUAAUAAGAUGUGAUCCCAGUUGUUGAUUCUUUGUGAUAGUUCUGUGCAAUUGGGGUUUUGUUCGUAAAGUCUUUGUCCACACCAGUGUCUUCAAGAGUUCCAACUAUUUUAUAUUCCAGCAGAUUUAAUGUUUCCAUUUUAAUAUUUGUAUCUUUGAUCCAUUUUGAUUUUAGUUCAGUGUAUGGUGAAAGAAACGGUUCUAAUUUUUAAUCUUCAGCAUAUAGAAAGCCAGUUUUCCCAGCACUACUUAUUAAUGAGGUUAUCAUUCUUCCAGUGAAUGUGUUUGACCCCUUUGUCAAAGAUAAGGUGGAUAAGUUGUCUUGAGUUGUUUGCAUCUUCUAAUGUGUUUCUUUGAUGCUCAGGUCUGUUUUUUUUUUUUUCUUUUUCUCUCCAGUAGCAUGCUGUUUUUCCUCAUAGUAGCUCUGCAGUUAGGGAUCUUGAUGCUCCUUGACUUGCCUUUGUUGCCCAGAAUUGUCUUCGCAAUUCUAGGUCACUUUUGGUUCCAAGUGAAUUUUAGGAUUUUUUUUUCUAAUUAUGUGAGGUAUGCUAUUGGGAUUUUAAUUAGAAUUACAUUAAAUUUGUGUAACAUUGGAAAUAUGGUCAUUUUCACUAUAUUGGUUUUUCCUACCCAAGAGCAAGAAAUAUCUUUCCAUUUUUAAACUUUUUUUAAUCUCCCUUUUGAAAGUAAUGUAGUUUUCAAUGUAAAGUCCUUGUUAUCUCUUUCUAGAAUGUCCUGAUUUGUUGUUCAUGAAUUUCCUUAAGUGUUGUUUGUCAUGCAAGUAUCUUAUUUCUCCGUUAUUUUGAAACAUGAUUUUGUGGGAUACAUCAUUCUGGCUGGGUUGGAGGUUGUUUCCUUUUAUGACUUGAAAUACAUCACUCUAAGCUCUUCUUUAGUUGAGGGUUUGUGUUGAGAAGUCUGCUGUGAUUCCAAAGACGCUUCUUUUACAGGUGAUUUGCUUCUUUUCUCUAAAAGCCUUUAAUAAUUCUGUUCUUGUGUUGAAUUUCUGGAAUUUUGACUGUUGUAUGCUUUGCUGUACAGUUUUUAUUUCAUUCAUGGGUAAUGGAGUCCUAUAUGCCUCACUUAUCUGUAUGUCAGAUUGUUUUUCCUGCCAAGGAAGUUUUCUGCCAUGAUGUCUGUAAAUAGGAUUUUUAUGUUAUUUGCACUCUUGACUCUGAUCAAAUUUAUUUUAUUCUUUUUUGCAUCAUCUAGCUGCUGGAGUGAUUUCUUGUGAUCUCUUGCUGUUCUUAAGAAAUCUUUCUUUUCAUGAUUGCUGACUGCAAGCCUGUCUUCUAUGUCUGAGAUUUUGUCCUCACAUUGGGUCAUCUUGCUGCGUGUACUGUCAAUAGAAGUUUUAAUGUCUUAGACAUUGUUUGAAUCUGUUUAAUGGAUUCUGUUUCUUUCCUAUGUUGGGCAUUCAUGGUUUCCAUCAUUUCAUUAAUAAGGCAAUUUACAUAUAUAUUGAUGAAAUGUAUAUAUAUAUAUCUGUAUGUAUAUAUAUCUAUAUCUAUCUUUAUCUGGUCCAGAGUCACUAAACAUGUCUUUCAUUGUGGUCAUCAUUUCUGUAGUUAUGUGAAUAAUUAUUUCUGAUCUGGUUUCUUCUAGAGCCUUGUUCAUUUGCAUUGUUAAUUCCACUGUUACCACUUCAGAGAGGCCAGUACAAUCGGCAAUAACAGCAGCAUCAAACGAAGCCUAGAAAAUGACAAAAUGAGGAGAGAAAAUUUAAAAGAGGUUAGGGGUAAAAAUAGAAGAGGAAAACAUCAAAAGGAAGACUGGAGGACAAAGGAGCAUCAUACAAACUUUGAGAAACUGAUGGAGAAUCCAAGGGGGAAAAAGAGAAGGAAGAAAUAUAAAGAACUCAGCUGGGCAAUAACCACAAAAAAUUAGGAACUAUAAAAACAGGAAUAAGCAAUGAAGAAAAAACCAAACCAAACCAACCAACCAACCAACCAGUAGCAGAGGGACAGAGAGAGACAGAGAGAGGUCCACUUCAAGCUGUGGGAGACUGACUCAGGAGGAUUGCUGUGAAUUCAAGGCCAGUCUGGGCUACUUAGUGAAUUUGAAUCCAGUUUAAACUAUAUAGCAAGAUUUUGUCACAAAAAAUAGAAAAUUAUUUGGAGGGGCAAACUGAAGUUUUUUGAGGUAAGAUGGAAACAUGAAUAUUGUGACAGGGACUCUGUGAUCAUGAUUUUUUAUUGUUUUGUCCAGCUAGAUUAA